rnacentral:tRNA from 1 species
GCCGGGGUGGCGGAAUUGGUAGACGCGCACGAUUCAGGGUCGUGUGUCCUCGCGGACGUGCGGGUUCAAGUCCCGCCCCCGGCA